CUUGAGGGACCCGAGCCACAGCGGCCGCUCCCGGCCCUGCCCGUACGCGGCCAGCAGAGCGUUGGCCUC
rnacentral:antisense_RNA from 1 species